rnacentral:rRNA from 1 species
CCGAGAAUAUUCGACAAUGGGCGAAAGCCUGAUCGAGCGACACCGCGUGUGGGAAGAAGGUCUUCGGAUUGUAAACCACUUUUAUAUGGGAGCAAGUUUUGAGAGUACCAUGUGAAUAAGGGGUUGCUAACUCUGUGCCAGCAGCAGCGGUAAUACAGAGACCUCAAGCGUUAUCCGGAUUUAUUGGGCAUAAAGGGUGCGUAGGCGGUUAGAGAAGUCCUCGAUUAAAUCUCCAGAGCUCAACUUUGGAGCUGUUGGGGAAACCAUCUAACUUGAAGAUGCUAGAGGCAAACGGAACCAUCGGUGUAGGGGUGAAAUCCGUUGAUAUCGAUGGGAACACCAAAAGCGAAGGCAGUUUGCUAGGGCAAUCUUGACGCUGAGGCACGAAAGCGUGGGGAGCAAAAAGG